AUUGGGCUUCUCUAACACAUCAAGCAUCACGAAAAUACAUGUUUGAGAAACCCUAGAGGCUCGGAUUUCAUUUAAAACCUAUUUUCUACAUAUUAGCCUCUUUUAGGUCAAAUCGAGAUAUUGAAAUUUCAUAUCUAUAUGUCGAUUUGAUCUCCGCUUCGCUUGGAGUUUCCUUCCCUGGUUUUCAUCGAUACUCUAAGCGAAGGAUCACCAUAAUCGUGAUGCUUUUCAUGAACGGCGUCGUGGAUUCAACAUGAACGAAGGCGGUUCGUGGAUUCGGAUCGUGGGCUCGUGGAUUCGAGUGGCGUCGUGGAUUCGGCGUGAUAGAAGCUUCGUGGAUUCGAAGUGGAGGCGUUCGUGGAUUCGAACGUGAGGGCGUGGACAACCCGGAGGAUUGCGCGAGAUCCAUAGGAGGUUAAGAGAGGUUGAGUCCGUGGAGUCGGUAAUCACCUUGUAAUCUUUUCUCUUAGUGGAUUAUUUUUUCGCGUGUUGGUCCUGUGGGUUUUUCUCCAAAUUGGAGUUUUCCCACGUAAAUCUCGGUGUGAUUUUUAUUUUCCGCAUUUAUUUUUAU
rnacentral:lncRNA from 1 species